GCUGGGCGCAGUGGCACGUGCCUGUAGUCCCCCUACUCAGGAGGCUGAGGCUGGAGGAUCACUUGAGCCCAGGAGUUCUGGGCUGUAGGGCACUAUGCUGAUCGGGUGUCUGCACUAAGUGCAGCAUCAAUAUGGUGACCUCCUGGGAGCAGGGGACCACCAGGUUGCCUAAGGAGGGGUGAACCCACCCAGAUCCGAAAUGGAGCAGGUGAAAACUCCCGUGCUGAUCAGUAGUGGGAUCUCACCUGUGAAUAGCUACUGUACUCCAGCCUGGGCAACAUAGCGAGACCCCGUCUCUA
ensembl:misc_RNA Metazoa_SRP Metazoan signal recognition particle RNA